GUUAGCAGGACGGGUAGGUUUAUAGGUGCGGGUCGAACAUCCUUUGUGUUGUCUAGAUUCCGUGAGCCUCCCCAAUAGAACAGUAGAUCAUCCUUACCAAGGUUAGGACGAGACUACAGUUGCAGUCUUCUCUAUACAUCACUCACAUCGAGAGACAUUCUUUGUAGUCUAAAGUGAUAGUAGCAAUAGAUUUGGUUAGUCAGAUGCACCCUUUCUCCCAGUGGUAAAAAUAUAAAUACGAUAACUCUCGAUAACCUCCCGGGUGAAAUGCUCACCGAUAUCCGUGCGCUUGCGGAUCAUUUCCUUAUUGCGUUACCAAAUAUCAACAGUGUCCGACAGUAGAAUUAGGGGUACAAGAUACCCACCUGAGAGAAAAGAAAAAGAAAAUAUAGAGCAUCUCAUUCUCCUCCAAAAGUUUCAAAAGAGCAAGAAAUGUAUGUAUCCCUUAAAAGAGUGUUGUUGGAAUUUACUGAAGAAUAAAAUGAUUAGCGGAGGGUAAAGUUAUUGAUGACAUUCCGGUUGU
rnacentral:lncRNA from 1 species